rnacentral:misc_RNA from 1 species
AGCAGCCGCGGUAAUUCCAGCUCCAAUAGCGUAUAUUAAAGUUGUUGCAGUUAAAAAGCUCGUAGUUGAAUUUCGGGAUUGACGUGAUGGUCGUGCCUUACGGGGUAUAAACUGUUGCAGUCAAUUUCUCACCUUCUGGAGAAAUAUGAUGUCCUUAAUUGGGGUGUCAUAUGGAACCAGAACUUUUACCUUGAAAAAAUUAGAGUGUUUAAAGCAGGCUUAUUGCUCGAAUACAUUAGCAUGGAAUAAUAAAAUAGGACGGCAUGGUUCUAUUUUGUUGGUUUCUAGGAUCACCGUAAUGAUUAAUAGGGAUAGUUGGGGGCAUUAGUAUUCAAUUGUCAGAGGUGAAAUUCUUGGAUUUAUUGAAGACUAACUACUGCGAAAGCAUUUGCCAAGGAUGUUUUCAUUAAUCAAGAACGAAAGUUAGGGGAUCGAAGACGAUCAGAUACCGUCGUAGUCUUAACCAUAAACUAUGCCGACUAGGAAUCAGACGAUGUUAAUUUUUUAAUGACUCGUUUGG